GUGCUGACUUCAGCAGCACAUAGACUAAAAUUGAAACAAUACAGAGAAGAUUAGCACCGCCCCUGCGCAAGGAUGACAUGCAAAUUUGUGAAGCAUUCCAUAUUUUU